rnacentral:rRNA from 1 species
UUGGAGGGCAAGUCUGGUGCCAGCAGCCGCGGUAAUUCCAGCUCCAAUAGCGUAUAUUAAAGUUGCUGCAGUUAAAAAGCUCGUAGUUGAAUUUCGGGACCAUCAUGUCGGUCGUGCCUCGGUACGUACUGGCAUUGUUGGUUUCUCCCUUCUGACGAACCAUGAUGUCAUUUAUUUGGUGUUGUGGGGAAUCAGGACUGUUACUUUGAAAAAAUUAGAGUGUUUUAAGCAGGCUCACGCUUGAAUACAUUAGCAUGGAAUAAUGAAAUAGGACGUUUGAUUCUAUUUUGUUGGUUUCUAGGAUCGACGUAAUGAUUAAUAGGGAUAGUUGGGGGCAUUAGUAUUCAAUUGUCAGAGGUGAAAUUCUUGGAUUUAUUGAAGACUAACUACUGCGAAAGCAUUUGCCAAGGAUGUUUUCAUUAAUCAAGAACGAAAGUUAGGGGAUCGAAGACGAUCAGAUACCGUCGUAGUCUUAACCAUAAACUAUGCCGACUAGGGAUCGGAUGAUGUUAAUUUUUUAAUGACUCAUUCGGCGCCUUACGGGAAAC